rnacentral:rRNA from 1 species
UGGGGAAUAUUGCACAAUGGGCGCAAGCCUGAUGCAGCCAUGCCGCGUGUGUGAAGAAGGCCUUCGGGUUGUAAAGCACUUUCAGCGGGGAGGAAGGCGAUAAGGUUAAUAACCUCAUCGAUUGACGUUACCCGCAGAAGAAGCACCGGCUAACUCCGUGCCAGCAGCCGCGGUAAUACGGAGGGUGCAAGCGUUAAUCGGAAUUACUGGGCGUAAAGCGCACGCAGGCGGUCUGUCAAGUCGGAUGUGAAAUCCCCGGGCUCAACCUGGGAACUGCAUCUGAUACUGGCAAGCUUGAGUCUUGUAGAGGGGGGUAGAAUUCCAGGUGUAGCGGUGAAAUGCGUAGAGAUCUGGAGGAAUACCGGUGGCGAAGGCGGCCCCCUGGACAAAGACUGACGCUCAGGUGCGAAAGCGUGGGGAGCAAACAGG